rnacentral:rRNA from 1 species
CCUACGGGAGGCAGCAGUCGAGAAUCAUUCACAAUGGGGGAAACUCUGAUGGUGCGACGCAGCGUGGGGGAAUGAAGGUCUUCGGAUUGUAAACCCCUGUCAUGUGGGAGCAAAUUAAAAAGAUAGUACCACAAGAGGAAGAGACGGCUAACUCUGUGCCAGCAGCCGCGGUAAUACAGAGGUCUCAAGCGUUGUUCGGAAUCACUGGGCGUAAAGCGUGCGUAGGCUGUUUCGUAAGUCGUGUGUGAAAGGCGCGGGCUCAACCCGCGGACGGCACAUGAUACUGCGAGACUAGAGUAAUGGAGGGGGAACCGGAAUUCUCGGUGUAGCAGUGAAAUGCGUAGAUAUCGAGAGGAACACUCGUGGCGAAGGCGGGUUCCUGGACAUUAACUGACGCUGAGGCACGAAGGCCAGGGGAGCGAAAGGGAUUAGAUACCCCUGUAGUC